ACGAGGGUUGCGCUCGUUGCGGGACUUAACCCAACACCUUACGGCACGAACUGACGACAGCCAUGCACCACCUGUGUCCGCGUUCCCGAAGGCACACCUCUCUUUCAAGAGGAUUCGCGGCAUGUCAAGCCCUGGUAAGGAGAUCGGAAGAGCGCACUUC